UGGGGAAUAUUGGACAAUGGGGGCAACCCUGAUCCAGCAAUGCCGCGUGUGUGAAGAAGGUCUUCGGAUUGUAAAGCACUUUCGACGGGGACGAUGAUGACGGUACCCGUAGAAGAAGCCCCGGCUAACUUCGUGCCAGCAGCCGCGGUAAUACGAAGGGGGCUAGCGUUGCUCGGAAUGACUGGGCGUAAAGGGCGUGUAGGCGGUUUACACAGUCAGAUGUGAAAUCCCCCGGGCUUAACCUGGGAGCUGCAUUUGAUACGUGUAGACUAGAGUGUGAGAGAGGGUUGUGGAAUUCCCAGUGUAGAGGUGAAAUUCGUAGAUAUUGGGAAGAACACCGGUGGCGAAGGCGGCAACCUGGCUCA
rnacentral:rRNA from 1 species